AUGUGCGCAGACGAGCAAAUGCAGCAGUGGAAGGUGCUCCACUCCACGGCGGUCGCCGUGUCGUCGGGUACAUCGGCUGGUGGAGGACGGUGUGGAGAGUGUCGCCGAAUGUGGGUCUGUCCGGCUGUCACUACUGCUAGAGUUGCAGCGCCGGUACACGGAGAUCAACAGGAAGGUGGCCAUCGCCAGGACCCUCUUGAGCCUCAUGCAGGAGGACAUGUACGUACUAACAUAAACAAGAUGACAGAUAAGUUCUCUGCUCUUCAGCUCAAAGUGACGGAGGUGAAUGCGUUGUUCACCAUGAAGCAGAAUCACUCCUCCAAAGGUGAACUAAUUAAUUUACAUUGUCUUCUUUUUGUAGUUUAUUCAUGCCAAGUUCAACGGCCCUCUGAACUUAUCUACGAAAGAAGUUUCUGA
rnacentral:rRNA from 1 species